rnacentral:rRNA from 1 species
GAUGAACGCUGGCGGCGUGCUUAACACAUGCAAGUCGAACGAGAAGUGAAGACGGAAACCUUCGGGCGGAAGGCUUUAUUUCGAGUGGCGGACGGGUGAGUAACGCGUGGGUAACCUGCCUCAUACAGGGGGAUAACAGUUGGAAACGACUGUUAAUACCGCAUAAGACCACAGCACCGCAUGGUGCGGGGGUAAAAACUCCGGUGGUAUGAGAUGGACCCGCGUUCGAUUAGCCAGUUGGCGGGGUAACGGCCCACCAAAGCGACGAUCGAUAGCCGAGCUGAGAGGAUGACCGGCCACAUUGGGACUGAGACACGGCCCAAACUCCUACGGGAGGCAGCAGUGGGGAAUAUUGCACAAUGGGGGAAACCCUGAUGCAGCGACGCCGCGUGAGUGAAGAAGUAUUUCGGUAUGUAAAGCUCUAUCAGCAGGGAAGAAAAUGACGGUACCUGAGUAAGAAGCCCCGGCUAACUACGUG